CACAGAAGCUGCACAAUGACCACGGCCUGCUGCACCUUGCAGCCGCUCCAGGCCCUGCCUGAUGUGCGGUUUGUGCAGCGUGGGACGCACGGACAGCACCAGGGCUCUGCGCACGCCUCGGCUCUUCGUGUUUGUGCUUAUCCACUGCCAGAUGAUCCAUCUUAAAUACAGUACAGCAUCCCUUGCCCCCUAAAUACCCAGCUGCUAAUCUCACACGACGAACCUGUAGCUAAUGCUCCGCUAAUCGUCACCCUCGGGGUCUGCUCAGAGUCGCCCUCCAGGCUCCCUCCUCCCUCCUCGCUCCUCUGGUCAUCACUUAAGGCUCGGCGUUGUCAGCCCUAAUCAGGCAUUAACUGAACGCGGUUUUUGUAACAAGGCUGUCGCGACCGGAUCCGCUACUCGGCACCGGCCCAUCUGUUGAGAGGCGCUUCUCGUCUGCGUGGAGCUGCGUGAAACGUUAAUUUCGGAACAGCCAAACGGACAAGAAUCCUCAGAAGCCCCCAACGCAUGAGCAGAUGUCAGACCAGGCUCACGUUGUGGGCCAGAACGGGCUUCCUGGUGCUGCACUGGGCCGGCGCCGAGGAAGGGAGGCGAUCGAAUCCACGUCGAAGAGGGCCCGAGGCAUCGGCUCCCCCGCAG